UUAGGCUCCUAGUCCAUGCUCAUUGGCUAAAUAGAAUACUAUGAUAGGUGUACCUGCAGAGUACUAUGAGGUCACAGAGGAAGAAACAAUUAACUUUCCCUAGAGAGGAUGUGAAAAGCAGUACGUAAGGCCUGGCCUCGAAGGAUAAAUAAAAGUCCACCAGGUAGAUGAGAAAAAGAGUAGAAGCAAAGGUGCUAUAAGCCAACAUGUGGCAUAUCAAACAAGACAGAAGUUUAUUUUUCUGUCAUGUAACAAUCCAGAGAGACGCUAUGGGAUUUGCUUGAAGCCAUGGGUGUUUCGGUGUUCUCUCAGCACCCUCAAAUGUCUGAGUCAUCAACCUUACCACCCUCCAACUUUGUUACAAGAUUUCCACCAAAAUCCAGACAGAUCAUUCCAAAACACAAUUGUGACCAGAUCACUCCCUGCCUAAACAAGUUUAAUGGAUCAUUGACAGGUAAAACAAAACCUGGGAACGGAACAUAAACUUGUGCUGAACUCUGAUAUGAAAAUGAGUAGGCACUGGGCUUCCAGCUGCCAUUGGAGUGCCAGUACAGAAGGGAUGCCCGGGCUGAUGGAUGCCAGAGGCAGGUAAAAGUGCCCCCAUUUCAGGCCUGAAAUGCCUGCAAGAAUUCCAGCCUGCAACUUUUUGGGUUCUGUGGACACAUUGUGCCUAGAGGCCUCUCAGAAGACAAGGUCUCCCUCACUGCAGGCAAUGGCUGAUUGCCAAUGAUUGCUGGCCUGGAAGACAGAAAACAAGAUUAUGCUUCUAUGACAACACAAAUGGUACCACCUCCAGGAAGCUUCCCCUGCCUCUUUCCCUGAUCCCCACUACUCUUUAGAUUACAUUUCUCCCCCAAGGAGCCAUGGCUCUGGUACUUUCCUUGCCCCUCUUGGGGCAAAUGUCACCAGUGAUGAUGUGGCCAGUACUGUGGGACGACAUUACACAGACCUUGGUUCACUCCCUGGCUCUGCUACUCAAUUCCUGAAUCUCAGUUUCCUCAGCUAUAAAAUGAAGACAGUAAGGAGCACAGAAAACUGUCCCAUCCUGGGACCUGACAACCCUAUUCUCAAGUUCCUGUAACAUGACUGUGCCCAGGGGCUCCUGGGUGGCUCAGUGGGUUGGGCAUCUGCCUUCAGCUCAGGUCAUGAUCUCAGGGUCCUGAGAUCAAGCCCCGCAUCAGGCUCCCAGCUCAGCAGAGAGUCUGCUUCUCCUUUUUCCUCUGACCCAUCUCCUCGAUUGUGGUCUCUCUGUCUCAAAUAAAUAAAAUCUUAAAAAAAAGAAAGCCACAUGAUUGUGCCCAAAGAAACUGCCUGGCAGCCCAGAGCCACAAAACAAUACUCAGUAGGCCCAGCGCAGUGGUGGCAGGCCCCCCUCACUAAUCUCCCCACCCAGACCUCCAGCCAGCCGCAGCCAGGGAACAGACAGCCAGUGGUGGCUAAUGAUACCUCUCCCAUCUUCUGGACAGAGUAAUUGCCAGGUGGGAUGGCAGGACCCCAAUUAUUGAGGGUCUGUCCAGGGGUGUGGUCACAGGCAUGUUCAAAACUGAAUUCCGCUUCCCCUCAAAUGUGUUACCCUUCCUGCUCCCUAUCUCAGAGAAGAGCACCAGCAAGGGGACCCAAGUUGGAAAUCAAGUUCUCAUUCGUGUCUCCCAUUCAAUCCAUCCGUCACCAAGUCCUGUCAUUUCUACCUCUCAAAUCCUCCCAUUUUUUUUCCAUCCAGGGCUGCCUCUGAGGUUCAAGUCACCAUCUGCCUCUUCACAGGUCUCCUGGCCUCACACUGCCCCACAGGGAGCCUCUCUCCUCCUGCCCCUCUGAAGACCCCUGAAUAGCUCUCAGAAAACUAGCCUCAAUAACUUUAAGCCCCCCACCUGGCUCCAUUCUGGUCCCGGCUUACCUUUCUAAACUCAUCUCCACUCUGCCUCCUCCUGUCUGUGGUUCCCCCAAUUCACUAUCCUGUUUCUCACCUGCCUGUUUUUGCUCAUGGCAUUCCCUGUCCUUAACAUCCUUCUCUUCUUCCAUCUUUUUUAUCCCUCCUUUUUCCACUGACUAGUUCCUUUUCAUAUUUUAAGACUUAGCUCAGAUUUCCAUUAUUCCAGAAGGCUUUUUACUCCCCCUUUCCGCACACACACUCCCAAACUAAGUGUUCUCACUUUGCCACUUACUGUGAGUACCGUUCCCAGCACCUUUGAUGCCUUAACUCAUUUAAUCUUCCCACCAAACCCUGUGCCUAGGUUCCCCUAUUGUUUUGUGUGUGUGUGUGUGUGUGUGUAUGUGUGUGUGUUUACAGAUAAGAAAACUGAGGCUUGCAGAAGUUAAAGCGACAUCUCCAAAGCCAAAUCAGUGGCUUAGCAAGUGCUAAAACCCUUCCUAUUUUUUUUUUUUUCCAAUAAAAAUACCAGUAUUGGGCAGCCCGGGUGGCUCAGGAGUUUAGCACCUGCCUUCGGCCUGGGGGUGUGAUUCUGAAGUCCCGGGAUCAAGUCCCACGUCAGGCUCUCUGCAUGGAGCCUGUUUCUCCCUCUGCCUGUGUCUCUGACUCUAUCUGUGUCUUUCAUGAAUAAGUACAUUUUUUAAAAAAUCUUUAUAAAAAAGACCUGUAUUGUUCUUUUCUGUUAUAAAAUCAAGGAAAAAAGUAAGACUCACUCUUCUUUUUGUCAAUUUGGUGAAUACCCUUAGUCUGGUAUGCAGUAGGCACUCAGUAGGUGCCAUUUCUCUAUGUCUAUGAAUACAGGCUGAUUUGGAGAGCAUUUUAUAUCAAGUGCUCACACCAUUCCUGCAGUCUCUCGAAUCUGGAGCUCUUGGGAGUUGCACCGAGCACCCCACUCCCGCAUCCAUCCAGUCCCCAGUAGUGUCAGGCUCCCAGGCCUCCGAGGUGGAACGACAGCUUGGUUUCCCUGCGGGAUGAGGACAGGGAUCGGCCGAAUUCGUUUUCGGGGCACAAACCACAACUAUGCAGACAGUCGAGGUGCGGAGCCGCGCUCCCGCGUGGGGUGACCCCUCCUAGGCCUGAGGCUUCCCCCGCGCGC